UAAUUUAACCACAAACUUAAAUUCUAACAAUUUACUAAUUGUUGCUGGAUGGUACUUCUCCAAAAACAAUGUACUUAAUAAACGUCUUUUAAUAGUUUCUAAAGUUACAUUCUACUUUUUGGAUGUUUUCUUCAUGAAAAUCAUUAUUUUGGUUUUAUUAACUGACUGCUAUUUUUCUGCUUUGUGUGUGUACGUAUUAUUUAUGUUCUUUACUGAUACAAUUAGUAGAGACAGAAAUGGAACAAAAGUUAAAUACUUAAAAAUUGUUGAACAAAUCUGUGUAACAGAAUCAGGAUAUUGAGAGUUAUGAACCCAAAGAUUAAUUCAUUGUUAUUUAAUGUUUUUAAGUUAUUCAAGUUUAAUGAGUAUAUCUAUAAAAAAGGGCAAAAUUAAGAUGAUGCCAUCUCCCCCAUAUCACAAAGAAGUUAAUUUUGGGUCUGUUGAAUUUUUGUAUAGGUUAGUUGAUGGCUUAGGGCAUUUUAUGCAUUCAUAACACUAUCUCAAAAGUUCUUUGUAAAUCAAGAAUAAAUCAGCACAUACAUUUUUAAUGGGACAAAGUAAUAUAUUAAUAUACAAAGUAACAAAUGACAGGCAGUACCAGCCAAUUUAAUAAUUAUUUUCCCCUGUUAUGAGUUGUAUCUGAUUCAGCAGUAGCAUCUUGUAUAUUCAAAUGUUAAUAUGUAUUAACAUUGUUAUCAUAAAUGUAUUUAACUGUCACUUUGUUUUCAUACUUAAGCUUCAGCCAUGGAAUAUUAGAAUGACUUAAUUUUUGGUUUAAUAAUAGUAUUUGACAUUAUAAGUAUUCCCUCAAAAAUAUGGAUCACUGAAAAUGCAAUGUGAUUAGGCAAGGGUGCAGCUCCAACAUCAGGUGUGUACAACCAUUCACACUAGUGACUUGCAAAUGAUAAACUGUAGUUGUUAAAAACACCCAAAAGCAAGUUUGUCAGUAACAUAUACACAAAACUGCUUAAUUUUGUCAUCUUUUAUCUGUUUAAAAUAAUAAUAAAUUAAAGGAGAUUUAAAAGUUUAAACUCGUAAUUAUUCUUUGGGCAAGAGUAGUAGGAAUUUUUUUUAAAGAAUUUGAAGUGGAUUUUAUUAAUUUGCUUACAUUUGAUCAAACCCAAUAGGGUGAUCUAAUUCUGUCUAUAAUACAGGCACUUCAAAAUUUCUUUCCACAAACCAAUUUUCUUUUGCACAUACAUACUACAUUCUUGUAGUGUAAUUCAAAAUAGGUACAUUCUGCAUUAUACCAAAGAGCUGUGCGUUGAGCAACUACAGUAGGGUCUGAACAGCUUGAAGAAAGAUUAUUUCCAAAUCACACAACAUUUCAAUAGAGUGGGUUAAACUUAUUAUGUGCAUAUUAUAAUCCAACAGACAAGCAAUAAAUUUGAAUUUUUCAUGAAUGCUUAACAUUAGGUAAAAAUAAAUCACUGUAUUUAGAGUUUUCUUGUCAUGUCUCUUUGCAACAUCCUCUGUACGUGCCCUUUCUUCAGGUGGCAUUUUUUUCAUUAGAUCACUAUACGUGUUGAAGAGUAGAUUACUAUUUUUGUUUUUAUGUGGCUGCUUCAUUUUUUGCUGUGUUGUUUAAAAACAUUAAAUAAGUAUGCAACAGGUAAUCCUGUUGCUGUAUUAAAAUUAACUGAAGUGACUGCCUUGAUCAAAUAACUGAUGAAAUAAAGGGCAAAAUCAACUCUCUUAUGACAGAAAAGAAAUAUGAACGUUUGCAUUAAAGAAUUUCGGUAGUGUUAGGUGACUCAAUAGUAUUUCAUUACUUGCUCAACUUGGCUCUCCUUCUGUUGCAGCAAUGGCUGUAAUAUAACUAGAAGGGUAAUGAAAGCGUGAUCUCAAUGUUAAGUAGUAAUAAAAUUCUAAUUAAAAGUAAGGAAGCUUGAAAAUAAGCUGUGAAAAAAACGUUAAUUGUAAUAAAAUUUUACAUUGCAUUAUUCUUAAAAUACCCAAGGAAGAAAGGAGGGUAAAAAAGCCUGUUAAUUGUCAUAUUCUUUUGGGGUUGGCUAAAUCUUUUUUCAGAUAUACAGUUUUACUUCCUUCCUAAAAUUUAGAAUGGUCUCAGUAACUCGUUUUGGUCCUCUUUUCAGACUGCGCAGUAAGGACUUGUGUAGUUUUUGUUUUGUCUGUCUAGUAGUUUAGCACCAUCUACUAUUUUUCAUCAAAUUCAAGUAAACACGUGUUCUUAUUAUACAAGCUAUUAGAGAAAAUGCUUUUUGAAACAGUAUUUCACUGCACUGAAUGUUUCGUGGGUACUGUUUUUGGAGAAGUCCAGUGGUUCUGUUCUGUUGUGCUAGAUGUUUUCAUAUUGAGCAGGAAUGUAAUUUAUUUCUUUUUCUCUUUAAAGACCCUAUUAAGGUUCAUUACAAUUUUCUUUUGGUUAUUCCUAAAAAGACUAUUAUUAUUUAUGAAGCCUGUUAAAUGCACUUUCAUGAGUUUCUUGUGUUUUUGGGUGAAUGUUUUGCCAGUGUACAAAUAAAU